UUGCAUUUGGGACAAAUUCUUUACUUGCCUUGUGAAGGCUAUACUAAUAUGGAGCUCUCAAUUAAAAGAGAAGGAAUUAAUACUAUAUUAGGCAGAACUUUUACUAGAAGUUUGAAUAAAUUAGAAGCAAAAAUUCUUUCUGUUGAGAUGAGGCUAUUACAUCACAUGGUAACCAAACUGUUUGUCCCUAGGAGUGGCAGACAUGACCUCC
rnacentral:lncRNA from 1 species